CGCCGGCCGGACGACCCCGGGAGCCUUCCCGGAGCCCCCCCGGGACCCCCACCGGGAGCCGCAGGGCUUAAAACAGGCCACCCUCCCCCGGGCAGGCGGGGACUACCCGGGUGAAGGUUUCCCGCUCGCCCGGUCCUUCCCCCGCCGUGCGCGGCCUCAAGAUGUCGGCGGUGGGCAGCCCGUCCCGGGGCCGGGGCGGCGGGCACCACAGACUGGGCAGGGAUUUUCCCUCCUCCAACGCUGAAGGGACAAGUUCACCGAUUACCUUCGGGGCACUGAAAAAUGAAUGCACAAAAAAACCCCAACAUAACUUAGGCUUCCAUCACGUAAAGCAGCGCAAGACUGACUGCACAUCAUACCGAGCCUUCCAGACCACCCUGCCCUACAAUUACAGAUCUGAUGAUCUUCAUCUUAAACAGAGAUAAAAAUAAAUCCGUGAUGUCAAGCUCCUGGCUCUGAGCAGCACAAGCAUUGCACUGGUGUGUCCUGGUUUCCCCAAAUGCGCCCUGCCGCGGCACAGGCACAGGUACUAGUCCGAUGGUGCCAGUUCUUGGACCUCACUUCACUUCCAGUUGUGUGGUCACUUCUACUGGAGCAAAAGAGCAGGGAAGUGGUGAAACUGGACAAUAGACUCCAGCAGAAUUACACGUGAUUUAUGUUCACUCCAUAUAUGAGGAAAAGCAGAUGUAGUAUUUCAGGAAUAUAUCCUCUUCACUAUCAAAUAAACUGAAGGUUAA